GGGGAUGUACUGGUUUCGACGGGGUCAUUGAGGCAUAAACUGCGAGUAGAGGAUUCUCGUUGGCCUCUUUAAAAAACGAGAGAAAAAAAUAAACGCUAACGAUAAUUUAGCACUCCAAGCUGCUUAAGUAGCGGCUUCGUCGACCUGAGGGUAACCCGUGCCUUCAGUAAUCGGCGUCAGUAAGACGGGCCUUCCAGUAGGGUGGUCAAUACUGGGAACAGGUAUGCCAAAGCUUUGAGGCAUAUCGGUACCUAUGAAGCUACCGAAAGCAAGACUCUGUCCAUUGAGGAUUGCCGUAGGGAAUGAAAAAGAAUGGACUACACUCGUAGACGUUUAUGAGGAUAUGGUUUCGGACGCGGGUUCAACUCCCGCCAUCUCCACCA
rnacentral:tmRNA from 1 species